AGCGUGAAGGCGACCGCCGCUGCCAGCCGGCCGGUGCAUUCACCGCUCACCGUAUCGAAUUUAUCGCGAGAUCGAUACGCGCGCAUACCCGCCAACGCGCUCUGUAUACACACUUACCUGCGCCUAGCCGACGACGUCACCACACGUGGCGCGCUGUGGCGGCGGCGGCAGGGACGUGCUAGUGUGUGUGCGCGCCACGAUUAUAUGGAAUUCAGCGAUUACGCCACCUACCUACGUACAGCGAGCGAGUGCGUCCGCUCAGCGGUAAUAAUAAUAAUAAUUAGCCGCCUCAUUAUUGUUAUUGGAGGCGACGCACGACGGCGCUCGCUGUCACCGACAGAUAACCGCUGCGCGCGACCAGACACCGCCGCGUUCGAUUCUCGCGCCGUGCUCGUCUCACCAUUGUUACUAUUGUCGCCGGACAAGGAGAAGUACUCCCCUUUGUGUUGUUGUGUGUACCUGGCUACCGGAUUGUAGUCACUGGAUUGUUUGACUCGACACCACCGGACCGUUCUAUCAGAUUGUGUGGACUGCCAGAUCACCUCAAUAAAUACUUUAUAUUACAAAGUAAGUUACGUCCGAUAAUGUUUUCACAAAACGCGUCAGGGACGCAUUUAAGUAAACUUUUAUAGAGUAUGUACAACUAAGUAUUGUUGGUAGGAGUGAACUUUUGUAAUGUCGGUAGCAUACUGGCAUACGAUGCAUUAAUAUCACUGUAAUAAUUAAAGAUUACUAGAUGUACAAUUUUUUUUUUUAAUAAUAAGCAACCUCUUUAACCGAAACCAAAACAAAAACACAUGUAUAAUAUCAUGUUCUUAAUUUCCUUAAGUCUUGUCUUGACACGCAAAUUUUACUUGGAUAUACAUCAGUCAUCAAAGUAAAUGAAAUGUUUUAAUAACAUAAUUGAUAAAACGGACAGGUUUCGUUUACAUCAGCGUUGAAACUCCGUCGAGUUGCUCCCAGUCAAGUUUAAUUCACAAAGUGCACGUAUUCUGUGUUCAUAUUUUAUUUAUUAAAUCAACAGUGGCGUGCAAAGUAAUGAACACACCUGUUGUAUUAUUCUUUGAGCUAUGCGAUUUUACAAUAGUCGCUGUAUCCGUAAUUUACGUUUUUUCCGAAUUCAAAAGUUUGAUUCAAUAUUUUUAUUGCUCGACAGUCGGCAGCACACAUGUUGUAAAUUUACACUGACUUUGCCCAAACAGGUAUUUUAUCGUUUUUCCUAAUUGCUAAUUCGUCUUGCUAAGUGAACCAUGAACUACGUUAACAUCCAGUGAUAUUUUUGUACGUUAAAUUUUGUUAUCUUAAUUUAAACCGACUUUUAGUCAAAGUUAACGCUCAUGUGACUAUUACGGGUGCGAUGACAAAAAAUUUGCACGCUAAUAAGGAUGCUGGAAAGGGUAAACUUAAGCGUGGAGAUCCAAAAAUUCUCUGUAAUUCUAAUUUUAUCCUCCUUUGAGCCUGUUUGCGGAAUUUGAACUCGAGAAUUCCUUCGUGCAUUGACUCCUGCGCGGGUGGCGGGAGGGCGUCGAGCCGAGUCGUAAAAUGCAAACGCUUCGUGUCACACGCGGAGUGACACAUAGCUUUCAUAUCGUAUGACAUGCCGAUCUGUCUUUGUUCCGAUGAGUUAUGCCCUGUGUCCCGCCGGUCCGCUAGAUGAACGCUAACCGCGCCACAAAUCAUCGAGACUGCUAACUCACUCCGCAAGAACGUCGCCCCCGCCCCCGCGACGCCUCGCCGACCUCGCCAACGUCUUCCCGCAAAUUCUCACCCCGAAACGAUACACCGGUGCUCACCGGACGAAUAUCACACGAACGCCGCAAUGACGCAAACUCCAUAGUCGCGUGCGCUCGCCGACGUUCAACUUACAUUGGGCCGUUUGUGCGCGGCACACACGAUCAUUAAACGUAUAUCUGUUAAUAAUAAUUGCGAUUGUCUGGUUGUACGUGCGCGCCGAGUUAUGGCGCAGUUGCCGGGCGGUUUGCGAGACCCCCCUCCGCCGCCCGUCACCCGCCGCCGACUCCUCGGAUCUGCGGCGAGCUGCGCAUCUUGAGAUGAAAUGGCAUUCAGUUUCGUUUUGUGACGGUUGAAUGGGCGCCCGGUUUCGCGAAUACGUAUGUGUAUUGAAUGUAUGAAUACAUGCAUUACACUGAACAAGAUGGAUUUUCGCAUGACUAAAACACAUGAAAGCGACGUUAGCAUUAUGCUAAAGUCCUCAUUUUGUAUCAGUUAUCAUAUUAUUAUAUAGAUUAGCGAAGUGGCUUACCGAAAUCAACCGCGCGUUCUGCUUAGUCACGUAUACAAUACACGUGUUAGGCUCGACGAAAUAUGGCCGUGACCUCGAAAAGAAUACGGGCUGAUGAUACAACUAAACAGAUUAUUGCCAUACAGCUAUAUAAAAUUGGAAAUUAUACCUACUCGAUUAAUUGAGCGUUACAAAAAACAACUCGCUUGUCUUGUCAUAAUAUGAGCCAAACGAUAAUUUGUUUGGUAUUAGAUAACUUUUAGCACGUCGCGACGCGAGAUGUAAGCGUUGUCCUCAUAUACACGUCGACCCUAUUUGUUACACUUAUGUGGUUUGACUAUUCUGAACACUGAAAACCGUAUCUAUAUUUAUUUUAUAAAAGAUACUUUAUUUUUGUUACUAUCGAGUAUUUUUAUAUUAUAGUAAUGAAACUAUUCCAUGUAUCAUGCAAGAAGUAAUAUAUAUAACGAUGCAUCUCUGGGCAUGAUUGUGGCUAGCCAUAACCAGUUUUAGAUUAUAAAACAUGACCACCUGCACAGCAAAUUAACAGAUCAUUCCUUUUUACUCGCGUUGCUAAGAAUAUGUGUAAUUAGAAAACAUUCCGCUUUCAAAGCAUUACAGAAUUCGGAAAGUUAUUGCAAAAUAUACCAAGAAAAUUUGCCUGGGACGUGGGGUCACUUCAUACAAAAAUAGUUUCUAUGAGAAAAGAGAAUUUGCUGGCGAUCGUUUGCAGGCCAUUCGGAAGGCCGCCUACAAUUUCCACCUUUUAUAUCCAAUAAUUCACAUUCUCUCACUUUACGAGGCAUUAUAAAGCACAUGUUACGCCGUAGUUUAGUUUUUCCGUUAGCUUGCACAUUUUUACGAUCCCGAUGUCGAGCGCUAUGCGGUGGUAGUUUAGCACAGCGUUGCCCGCCGGGCUCUCACGACCGGUCCCUACGUGAUCUCCUGCGACGCUCCCCGACUCGCUAAUAACUGCCGUGUGCACGUGUGUGGGUGUGUAUCCGACAUACAUGUAAUACAUGUGAAAAGAAAAAUGUUCUUCGUUACUUUGAUAACGUAUUGUGUUGUACGUGACGCAAAUACAACUUCGCUUCACGUUUUUGUAUUUUUUUUAUUAUAAUUACGUUUUAUUCGCUUUGAUGUAUCGCUACAUGUCCGGUUUCGAUUUUAUUUAAUUAUAUCAUAAUGUCGCGUGAUUGUGACAGCUAAAUCGAUAAAAAAUCAUAUUUACAUUAUUGUACCGGUUCAUACUUGAUUGAUACCCACGUUAUAAUAAGAUUAUAAUUAUCGGUUUUCAAUAAUUUAGCAUUUGAUAUCGUAUUCUAAAAUAUAUUUUCUCAAAAUCUUCGAUAUGAUCAAUAACAUGAAUAAUGCACUUAUAUUUUAAACAUCAGAUUUAAACGUCGCUUUUAAGAAACUAACAAAUGUUACGAUGUGUCUGCACAAUAGGUUAACUGUCUAUCAUUACUCAUGCACCGUUGCGACUUUCAAAGCUCUGUACAAGCGCGGGCCGGUGUCAAUGCACUUUACGUUCAUGAUACUUACGCUUGAACUCGACAUGCUUCUAACGCUAGGGGACUUUUAUUUUGUAAGUUUCAGUUUUCUAGUGUUAUUUAUUGAUCUAAUUUAGUGUUCUUAUACCCUUAUCGUGACGUGAAUGUAUACGUUUUAUGUUAAUUCAUAAGAAAUAACUGUAAAAACAAUUAUAUUGCCGUGUAAGUGAGAAUGAUUCGAUGAGCCUUAAUCACGUUUUCUUUUCAUGAUUGAGGUCUUGAUGUUUGAAGGUUAAUUUCGCAAUUGAUAACACACCAAAUUAACUUAUUCAAAAAUCAUAAUAAAUUCACACGUGUACGCACUGGAGUGUGUACCUGAGAACUAGGUACAUAUAAUUAAUUCCACAUUUGUAUUUGCAUGAACACGCGGUUUUAAUGUAGCACAAUACAAAAAUUUACAUUUAUUUCGUUCGUUUGUAAGUGCAUUUACGUCAGCAUUUGUCUGGCUCACACGUCUGCAACACUUCCUAUACAAAUAAUAUCGACUAACUUAAAUUUUGGGUAUAGAGUUGAAGUGGCUGUACAUUGGUAUGUUACUAUCUUGUAUUUUAAUUGGUUGUGUAAUAGAUAAUUGUACCUUCGCCAGUAAAUCGUUUGAUUUUUAAUAUAAGGAAGGAAAAAAGAGUAUUAUAAUAUUUUGUUGUUGUAUCAUUUAUUAUACAACAACAAAAUAUGAUGUUUAUUUAUGGCAAAAAUUAUGCGGCAAAUGUGUAACCAUCAUUUUCUGUAAACCAUUACGUAGUCAUUGUCGUGUUCGUUUUGUAAUAACUAUUAAAUAGUUAAUUUUUCUCUCGACAAUUUGAUUUCAUUUUAUUAGUAUUAUUGAGAGUUUCAAGUUAUCAGCAUAAAUAAUUAAUUAAUACAACAUUACUUGACAAUACGACUGGUAUUGUAUGUACAACAGAUCAGUUGAUUGUCUUGUAUAUAAUAAAUUACUGCACUCUCCUAUAACAAUUUAGAUGACUAAUUUUAACAUUCAUUGCAGUUUUACAAGGUGUGCGUACUUAGCAACUAUCGCAAAUGCUAAUAUGUUAUGAUUGUCUGCGGGUCGCAUUACGCAUAAUGAUGAAGUAUUUGUUAGGAAUGUAAAAAUAACAAACUUUAUGAAUCUAUAAAUUAUUGAAAUCCAAGGUAAAUGUGGAACUUAUGGCGAUCGGCAGCUAUUAUAUGACCUAAUCAAACCAUGUAGAUCGUAGAGGUUCCAUGAAACAUUUGAAACUGAUUCGUCUAAAUUCCAAUGCACCCUGAGCUUUAUGCCCAAGUGUCUACCGAGAAACGGGCACUAAUACCGGUAUGCGCAAGUCGAUAACGCUUAGCAAGGCCAAAGGAAUUCGACACUUUAUUGUGCUCGAUAUCGAGAUACGAAGCUAUCGAUAUGUCACGAUCGAUGUAGCGAUGCCGUCGAUAAAUCUAAUAGUGUGACGUUGGCUGCGUUAUUUAAGUGCUGUUUGUUGAUAUGUUAUCACUUUGAAUGUUCGAUCACAAUGUAAAUAUUUUAGGCGGAUAAACGUUUAUACUUCAAAAAA